rnacentral:tRNA from 1 species
GCCCCUAUAGCUCAGCGGUAGAGCGCGCCACUCGUAAUGUUGUAAAGUCGUUCAAACCGGCUUAGGGGCU